GCGCCGGUAGCUCAGAGGCCAGAGCUGCGGACUCUUAAUCCGUAGGCCGUGGGUUCGACUCCCACCCGGCGUA
rnacentral:tRNA from 1 species